rnacentral:rRNA from 1 species
GGUGAACGCUGGCGGCGUGCCUAAGACAUGCAAGUCGAGCGGGCCGCGGGGUUUUACUCCGUGGUCAGCGGCGGACGGGUGAGUAACGCGUGGGUGACCUACCCGGAAGAGGGGGACAACCCGGGGAAACUCGGGCUAAUCCCCCAUGUGGACCCGCCCCUUGGGGUGUGUCCAAAGGGCUUUGCCCGCUUCCGGAUGGGCCCGCGUCCCAUCAGCUAGUUGGUGGGGUAAUGGCCCACCAAGGCGACGACGGGUAGCCGGCCUGAGAGGGUGGCCGGCCACAGGGGCACUGAGACACGGGCCCCACGCCUACGGGAGGCAGCAGUUAGGAAUCUUCCGCAAUGGGCGCAAGCCUGACGGAGCGACGCCGCUUGGAGGAAGAAGCCCUGCGGGGUGUAAACUCCUGAACCCGGGACGAAACCCCCGACGAGGGGACUGACGGGACCGGGGUAAUAGCGCCGGCCAACUCCGUG